UCCUCGGUAGCUCAAUUGGCAGAGCAGCCGGCUGUUAACCGGCAGGUUACUGGUUCGAGUCCAGUCCGAGGAG
rfam:Streptomyces pactum strain KLBMP 5084, complete genome.